GCUGACACGUCCCGGCCAAUCUCCAGCAGACCCUCCCUCCCAGACCCUCCUACUUCCUGGACAGCAUCCAUGUUGAAACUUGCGCUGAAGUUGAACCAUGGAUGCUGUCCAGGAAGUAGGAGGGGCUGGGAGGGAGGGUCUGCUGGAGAUUGGCCGGGACGUGUCAG